rnacentral:rRNA from 1 species
GCUUGCGGCCACACCGGCCUGAGUACGCCUGAUCUCGUCCGAUCUCGGAAGCUAAGCAGGGUCGGGCCUGGUUAGUACUUGGAUGGGAGACCGCCUGUGAAUACCAGGUACUGUAAGCU